rnacentral:rRNA from 11 species
ACCCAUAAUGUAAUACCCGGAAGGCUCCGCAUCCCAUCUGAUCUUGGAAAUUAAGCAAGGUCAGCUGUGGUUAGUACAAAGAUGGAAGACCAUCAAUGAAUAAUAGAUGAUGUAGGCU